rnacentral:rRNA from 1 species
CCUACGGGCGGCUGCAGUAGGGAAUCUUCCACAAUGGGCGAAAGCCUGAUGGAGCAACGCCGCGUGUGUGAUGAAGGCUUUCGGGUCGUAAAGCACUGUUGUAUGGGAAGAACAGCUAGAAUAGGAAAUGAUUUUAGUUUGACGGUACCAUACCAGAAAGGGACGGCUAAAUACGUGCCAGCAGCCGCGGUAAUACGUAUGUCGCGAGAGUUAUACGGAUUUGUUGGGCGUACAGCGAGCGCAGAAGGUUUAGUAAGUCGGAUGUGAAAGACCCGAGCUCAACUCCGGAAUGGCAUUGGAAACUGGUUAACUGGAGUUCAGUAGAAGUAAGUGGAACUCCAUGUGUAGCGGUGUAAUGCGUAGAUAUAUGGAAGAACACCCGUGGCGAAGGCGGCUUACUGGACUGCAACUGACGUUGAGGCUCGAAAGUGUGGGUAGCAAACAGGAUUAGAUACCCGAGUAGUC